rnacentral:rRNA from 1 species
CGCGUAGGUAACCUGCCUGGUAGCGGGGGAUAACUAUUGGAAACGAUAGCUAAUACCGCAUAAAAUUGAUUAUUGCAUGAUAAUUGAUUGAAAGAUGCAAUUGCAUCACUACCAGAUGGACCUGCGUUGUAUUAGCUAGUUGGUGAGGUAACGGCUCACCAAGGCGACGAUACAUAGCCGACCUAAGAGGGUGAUCGGCCACACUGGGACUGAGACACGGCCCAG